rnacentral:piRNA from 1 species
UCAUUGGUAAGUCUCCAGUGACUAUUGCA